rnacentral:rRNA from 1 species
ACGAACGCUUGCGGCGUGCUUCACCCAUGCCAGUCGCACGGAAAGGCCCUGCUUUUGUGGGGUGCUCGAGUGGCGAACGGGUGAGUAACACGUGAGUAACCUGCCCUUGACUUUGGGAUAACUUCAGGAAACUGGGGCUAAUACCGGAUAGGAGCUCCUGCUGCAUGGUGGGGGUUGGAAAGUUUCGGCGGUUGGGGAUGGACUCGCGGCUUAUCAGCUUGUUGGUGGGGUAGUGGCUUACCAAGGCUUUGACGGGUAGCCGGCCUGAGAGGGUGACCGGCCACAUUGGGACUGAGAUACGGCCCAGACUCCUACGGGAGGCAGCAGUGGGGAAUAUUGCACAAUGGGCGGAAGCCUGAUGCAGCAACGCCGCGUGCGGGAUGACGGCCUUCGGGUUGUAAACCGCUUUCGCCUGUGACGAAGCGUGAGUGACGGUAAUGGGUAAAGAAGCACCGGCUAACUACGUG